rnacentral:rRNA from 1 species
UACAGAGGGUGCAAGCGUUAAUCGGAAUUACUGGGCGUAAAGCGCACGUAGGCGGUUUUUUAAGUCAGAUGUGAAAGCUCCGGGCUCGACCUGGGAAUUGCAUUUGAAACUGGGAAACUAGAGUGUGUGAGAGGGGGGUAGAAUUCCAAGUGUAGCGGUGAAAUGCGUAGAGAUUUGGAGGAAUACCAGUGGCGAAGGCGGCCCCCUGGCACAACACUGACGCUCAGGUGCGAAAGCGUGGGGAGCAAACAGG